GUUGGGCCUCUUUUUUGUUUAAAAAUAUUGGGCCCAAGUCCCAUAUGAACGAAUUAUUGCCCCCCAAAACAACAACAAAUGGUCCAAAUAAGUGAAAUGACCAAAUUGAUUCCCUAAAACUGCAAAGGCAGACCCUUUUCCUCCCUUCUCCAGUUUUCCAUUCUAUAAUUGCCAUUUGAAGAUCAAAGAAGAGGUAGCAGCUAGCAGCUGCUGCUACCGCGCCGCGAGGAGGAGGAGGAGGAGGCGCUACCAAAGAAGUGUUCUGCCGACUGUUGCUUUCUUUUCUGGUCUCAAAGUCUUCGAGCUUGAGCAGCCUUUGAUCGGACUGGUGACUGGUAAGCGCAUUUGUCUUUCUCUCUCUCUGGAUUUGUUCUUGUUCUAUUUUGUUGAAUAAUGAAUGUUGUCUAUAAUUUGUAAAUUGUUUAAUCACAUUCACAUAAACUGUUAAAAAGCAAUUUU
rnacentral:lncRNA from 1 species